UCAAAACGGAGAGUUUGAUCCUGGCUCAGGAUGAACGCUGGCGGUAUGCUUAACACAUGCAAGUCGAACGGUGUCUUCGGACACAGUGGCGGACGGGUGAGUAACGCGUGAGAAUCUGGCUCUAGGUCUGGGACAACCACUGGAAACGGUGGCUAAUACCGGAUGUGCCGAGAGGUGAAAGGUUAACUGCCUAGAGAUGAGCUCGCGUCUGAUUAGCUAGUAGGUAGUGUAAUGGACUACCUAGGCGACGAUCAGUAGCUGGUCUGAGAGGACGAUCAGCCACACUGGGACUGAGACACGGCCCAGACUCCUACGGGAGGCAGCAGUGGGGAAUUUUCCGCAAUGGGCGAAAGCCUGACGGAGCAAUACCGCGUGAGGGAGGAAGGCUCUUGGGUCGUAAACCUCUUUUCUCAGGGAAGAACACAAUGACGGUACCUGAGGAAUAAGCAUCGGCUAACUCCGUGCCAGCAGCCGCGGUAAUACGGAGGAUGCAAGCGUUAUCCGGAAUGAUUGGGCGUAAAGCGUCCGCAGGUGGCAAUGUAAGUCUGCUGUUAAAGAGUCUAGCUCAACUAGAUACAAGCAGUGGAAACUACAUAGCUAGAGUACGUUCGGGGCAGAGGGAAUUCCUGGUGUAGCGGUGAAAUGCGUAGAGAUCAGGAAGAACACCGGUGGCGAAGGCGCUCUGCUAGGCCGUAACUGACACUGAGGGACGAAAGCUAGGGGAGCGAAUGGGAUUAGAUACCCCAGUAGUCCUAGCCGUAAACGAUGGAUACUAGGCGUGGCUUGUAUCGACCCGAGCCGUGCCGUAGCUAACGCGUUAAGUAUCCCGCCUGGGGAGUACGCCGGCAACGGUGAAACUCAAAGGAAUUGACGGGGGCCCGCACAAGCGGUGGAGUAUGUGGUUUAAUUCGAUGCAACGCGAAGAACCUUACCAAGGCUUGACAUGUCGCGAAUCCUGGUGAAAGCCGGGAGUGCCUUCGGGAGCGCGAACACAGGUGGUGCAUGGCUGUCGUCAGCUCGUGUCGUGAGAUGUUGGGUUAAGUCCCGCAACGAGCGCAACCCUCGUUUUUAGUUGCCAGCAUUAAGUUGGGCACUCUAGAGAGACUGCCGGUGACAAACCGGAGGAAGGUGGGGAUGACGUCAAGUCAGCAUGCCCCUUACGCCUUGGGCUACACACGUACUACAAUGCUCCGGACAGAGGGCAGCAAGCAUGCGAAUGCAAGCAAAUCCCGUAAACCGGAGCUCAGUUCAGAUCGCAGGCUGCAACUCGCCUGCGUGAAGGAGGAAUCGCUAGUAAUUGCAGGUCAGCAUACUGCAGUGAAUUCGUUCCCGGGCCUUGUACACACCGCCCGUCACACCAUGGAAGCUGGUAGUGCCCGAAGUCAUUACUCCAACCUUUCGGGGAGGAGGAUGCCUAAGGCAGGACUGGUGACUGGGGUGAAGUCGUAACAAGGUAGCCGUACCGGAAGGUGUGGCUGGAUCACCUCCUUU
rnacentral:rRNA from 1 species